GUGCUUACUUUGGCAGCACAUACAUUUAAACAAACAAUACAGAGAAGAUUAGCAUGGCCCGUGCACAAGGAUGACAUGCAAAUAGGGAAGCAUUCCAUAUUUUC
rnacentral:snRNA from 1 species